rnacentral:rRNA from 1 species
GACGAAGGUGGCAAGCGUUGUUCGGUAUCACUGGGCUUAAAGCGUGUGUAGGCGGAAAGGUAAGCGUUUUGUGAAAGCCCCCGGCUUAACCGGGGAAUUGCUUGACGAACUGCCUUUCUUGAGGCAGACAGGGGUGCGUGGAACUCUUGGUGGAGCGGUGGAAUGUGUAGAUAUCAAGAGGAACGCCAGUGGUGAAGACGGCGCACUGGGUCUGAACUGACGCUGAGACACGAAAGCGUGGGGAGCGAACGGGAUUAGAUACCCCCGUA